UAAUGCUGCUAAGCUGCUGUAGUUUUCGAUGAUUCUAAACCUAAAUUUUGUGAAAGAGACCGCUGCCCGUGAGAACUCUUAGCGGAAGCUUUUUUCUUUCAAAAACAAGAGAAUCUUUGAACAAAAACAAUGGAACUUGUUGUCCCAAUUUAUUAGAACCCUAGCUUGCAAAUUGGUGGGUGAAGAGAGGGAAAUGUUGUGUGGAAUUGCAACAACUGUGGCCAACUUGUCUCCACAAAAAAAUGUGUGCUGCUUCGCUGCUGGAGAGAAUGUCAAGAAAGAAGCAUGCAAUUGUCGACAUGAAGAUUCAUUUCAUGGAAAUAGUGAAAACAAUGUGGAGAAUUACUCAAAGAAGUCUAUGAGACGUGUUUAUGUGAUUGUAAGUUUUUGACGUUUUGCGAGCAGUAGAGUGAAUUUAUCAUAUUGUGGUAAACGAAUUUGUUCUUUGAAAAGUUGUCUAAGCAUUGAGUGUGUUGUUUGAUUUUAGCUUAGAGGAACGGUCAAGAAAGAAGCAUGCAAUUGUCGAUAUGAAGAUUGUGAGAGGUGUUUGUAUGAUUGUAAGUUUUGCGAGUAGUAGACAUAUUGUGGCAAAAGAAUUUGUUCUUUGAAAAGCUGUCAUAAGCAUUGAGUGUAUUGUUUGAUUCUAGCUUAGAGGAACCAGCUUCUUUAGAGCCUCCCUCAUUCUCACGGUGUUUAGUUAAAAUACUGUGCUCCAUGUAUGUAUAAGAAAGAAAUAGGAUUAUAUUGUUUUCCACAUCUUUUGCAAACACUUUGGGUGCCAUUUCGGAGAGUCUAUUUGUUUCAGUUGGUUCAUAAGAAAUGUUUGACGCCUCAAUGCACCAUGCAAAAGAUUUGUUUUUUAUGAGAAAUUUCCCAAGACCAACUACACUAAUUAUGCA
rnacentral:lncRNA from 1 species